AACGCAACUUGCGCUCUCUGGUAUUCCGGAGAGCAUGCCUGUUUGAGUGUCAUGAAAUCUCAACCAUUAGGGUUUCUUAAUGGCUUGGAUUUGGAGGUUGCCAUUCUAAAUGGCUCCUCUCAAAAGAGUUAGCGAGUUUAACUAUUGCUAUCUGGCGUAAUAAGUUUCGCUGGAAUGGUAUUGUGAAGCGCGCUUCUAAUCGUCUUCGGACAAUUACUUUGACUCUGGCCUCAAAUCAGGUAGGACUACCCGCUGAACUUAA
rnacentral:misc_RNA from 1 species